CAGUUUUUUAUGUUUUUUUUUUAUUGUGGUAGCCCACAAAAUAUUGGGACAUAUAAAAAAAAGACAACUCUGUUCCGCAGAGUAGCUGUUGACAUUAUAGUUGUUCAGGCACUUUGUUGACUCUAGAGAACCUCAGGCCAAUCGUACAUCUCCGUGAUGGCGACUUUGCAUUCGGAUGUCAUUCAUAUCAACUUUCGAUGCCAGUUUCUGCGCCUUCCAUGGUGACCACAAUUAACGGGGAAUCAGGAUUCCAUUCCGUACAGGGACCCUGAGAAACAGCUACCACAUGCAAGGAAGGCAGCAGGCGCGCAAUGAUCCACUCCCGACGCGGGAAGGUAGUG